GAUGAACGCUGGCGGCGCGCCUAACACAUGCAAGUCGAACGGUUAAAGCACCUCCGGGUGUGUAUAAAGUGGCGAACGGCUGAGUAACACGUGGGCAACCUGCCCCUCGCUCCGGGACAGCCUCGGGAAACUGGGAGUAAUACCGGAUACUCCGCCACCCCCGCAUGGGGGAGGCGGGAAAGCCAUUACGGCGAGGGAUGGGCCCGCGGCCUGUUAGCUUGUUGGUGGGGUAACGGCCUACCAAGGCGAUUAUGGGUAGCUGGGUUGAGAGACCGACCAGCCAGAUUGGGACUGAGACACGGCCCAGACUCCUACGGGAGGCAGCAGUGGGGAGUCUUGCACAAUGGGCGAAAGCCUGAUGCAGCGACGCCGCGUGCGGGAUGAAGGCCUUCGGGUUGUAAACCGCUUUCAGUGGGGACGAGGCCGCGAGGUGACGGUACCCACAGAAGGAGCCCCGGCUAACUACGUGCCAGCAGCCGCGGUAAGAC
rnacentral:rRNA from 1 species